AUGGGUACCUUUGAUUCCCUUAAGGAAUGCUCCAAGAUUGUGGUGGCCUGUUCGUCCGGCACCCAGGCCCGGGCGGCAAUCCUUUUGGCAGCAUGCCGAACAUAUGCACCACCGCAAAAUAAUACACUGGACUACUAUUCUUGCCUAACAUUUUCACUGAAGAAUUCACCUGGCUGUUAUCAGGGCUAUACUUUGGACCUUGUUCGUGCCUUUGACAAGCUAGAUUGCAAGGUGAAGGCAUCCCCGUCAUCCACUGAAGCACCCAACUCGCUCGGUUCACCAACACCACUGUCCACUCCCGUCUCGCCGGUGAGACGUAGCAUCCUCCUCAGAGAUGCCCAAUUUCCACAAGGCCUCCUCCAGUUGAGCCCUAGCCAACAUGGUGGCUUGGCUCUCGUCUCCAUCCAAGAACCGGUAGCAGGAGUGGAUCUCGCCAACUUACUCCCUAACCGGUGUGCUUGCUCGUCCCGUGGAUGGAGAUCCGCGGGCAUCAUCAAGAAGAAAAGAAAUGUUGUACUCCGUGAUCUCCUUGGUUCACAAGUUCUUUUUGUUUGUUUGUUUGAGAAACUCCUUCGUUCACAAGUGAUCUCACGGUCAAACCAGAGAAGUUCAGUGAUCUGCUUCUGGGCUAAGCCCAGCCCAAGAAAAACACUCUCUUCUAUAGGGUUGGAACCUGGGCCGUGCCCAUAUCUAUGCCCCCAUCCCCUCCGCCGCCACCCGCACUACUCCAGGACGAGCUCCCAGCCGGCGGCCAUGGCGGAGGCCGCAACAGCAGCAGCGACGCCUCUCCUCCCCGGCCUCCUAGACGAUGUCUUCAUCUGGGAGAUCCUCGUCCGCCUCGACCCGAAAUCCCUCCUCCGCUGCCGCGCCGUCCGCCGCGCCUGGCGCCGCGCCACCUCCACUCGCCGCUUCCUCCUCGCCCACCACGCCCGCCAGCCCGCCUUCCCCAUUGCGGACGGCGACCAGUUAGUCCUCGGCGUCCACCUCCACGACAUCCUCGCCUUCGACCUCCGGGCCGCCGCUAAGGCCCACCUCCAUACCGUCGCCAGACUUGACCAGGACUUCUAUCUGGAGGCCUCAUGCGACGGCCUCCUCGUCCUCUCCACGUUUGCCAAGGGUGGAUCUGGAUGCUGCAUCUCUAUCUGCAACCCGGUCACGCGUGAGCAUGCCUCCCUCGCCGGGCCACCGUGGGACUUCACUGCCUUCGGGAUGUACCUCCACCGACCCACCGGCGAGUACCGCCUGUUACUGCAACGGGGGAGCAACAGGGACUCGCCUGAAGAGCAAAUUGACUGCUAUGUCUUUCCAUUGGGCUCCGACCAGCCACCGAGGUACAUCGGGUGGCCGGACAUGGAGUCAGUGGUCUUCAACUUACCUAUUCAGCUGCGUGAUAACCUGCAUUGGUAUCCAUAUUAUCAUCUGAGUGAAAGCGAACAAUUGCAGAGUGAAGGCAAACCUGUAAUAGUAUUUGACACGGUAGCUGAGUCGUUCCGGCAGAUGCAUGCUCCAAUUGUUCCCACAAAGUCAUACUUAUUUGAGAUGGAUGACACGAUCGGCAUCUAUUGCAAUGACGAUGACAAGAACACCAUUAGUAUAUGGGUGCUGCAGAACUAUGAAAGCGAGGUUUGGGACUUAAAGUACCGAAUCAGAUUGCCUGUUGAAGAAAUCAGGGGACAGUUUGAAGGUUGUAAUGACUAUCGGGAUGUUAACCUUUGGGAUGUGGACGUUGUUUCGGGGGAUGGUGGCGUGCUCUUGCUGGUCAGUUUUGGUCGGUGGGUGCUUCACAUCGACACUGAUGGCAAAUUGAUUGACAGUUUCUAUAUUGGUCUCCUAGGCCUCCGUAUUUAUGAAUGUCGGCUCAAGCAAAGUCUUGUUCAACAUGCCUUUUUUCCGGCUCUAGAAGAAUUUAGAAGUAAGGUGUUAAACCUGCUCUCCUCCCUCAGCUUUAGAAUCAUCUUUUCAACCUUCAGAAACAGAAGCAUAAUAUUGUUCCAUGUCAGAGGGUGUUCAAAUGCAAGCAAUCUAAGUACAUGGGUGAGAGUCACAGACUCACAGGUGACCCGACUAACCAGUACGUGGGUGAGAGUCACAGACUCACAGGUGACCCAUGGAACGGCAGUGGUUUCUGUGUCGGUGGAAUGCAUCCUCAUGGGCCUGGAGGACCAGGUUGGGAAGGCCAUGGCCCUGGUUCUUGGGGGCCUUGGUUUGGUGGCUUCUUUAGAUCCUGCUUCUACCUCCUUUGCUGUUGCUGCCUGCUCCAAGAUUGCUGUGGCCCGUUCUUCGGACCCCCGGGUCCAGGCGGCUUGA
rnacentral:rRNA from 1 species